rnacentral:rRNA from 1 species
UACGAAGGGGGCUAGCGUUGCUCGGAAUCACUGGGCGUAAAGCGCACGUAGGCGGAUCUUUAAGUCAGGGGUGAAAUCCUGGAGCUCAACUCCAGAACUGCCUUUGAUACUGGGGAUCUCGAGUCCGGGAGAGGUGAGUGGAACUGCGAGUGUAGAGGUGAAAUUCGUAGGUAUUCGCAAGAACACCAGUGGCGAAGGCGGCUCACUGGCCCGGUACUGACGCUGAGGUGCGAAAGCGUGGGGAGCAAACAGG